ensembl:snRNA U6 U6 spliceosomal RNA
GUGCUCGCUUUGGCAGCGCAUUCACUAAAAUUGGAACGACACUGAGAAGAUUAGCAUGGCCCCUGCACAAGAAUGACAUACAAAUUUGUGAAGCGUUACAUAUUUUU